rnacentral:lncRNA from 1 species
UUUUUUCCCUAGCUGGUUUUAGGUCAACGACAAUAAAACGUGAAUUCUGGAGAUUCAAAACCUCAAAUCUUCAACUUUUCACCUCGCACUUUUAUUCCUGGGACAAAAACUUGCUCAGCACAUCUCUUCCUAAAUUCCAAGACAGGCUGCUUGUUCUGUUCAGUCAAGAAUGCCAACCCAAGAAACAUUUUUGAAAGAUCACAGUCAACGUCAUUGCCAAAAGAAGAAGCUCUUGGCACACAAAGAACCUGGUUCAAUAUGAGAUGCCAGAUGGUGAUUUCAACUUCAGCUAAAUUCCUGCUGAGAAGUAUUUGAACUGCAGAUGAGAAAAUCUUCUGUGACAAAUUUCCAAGUGUUAGAAGCUUCAGAGGAAAAUGGCAAGUGUUGAUACCCUCUCUCCCCGCAACCACCACCACCAACCACAUGCACACAUACCAUGGAACAUACCUGCAUCUGGUAGCUAAGAUUCCAACAGAUGCCUCUGCCUUUUAAAAAGCCUAUGGACCCUGAUUUGAUUUUUACUAAAAGUAUAUUAACUGAGUCCAUUGGAAGCAAAUACCAUUUGAUUAAUAUGCAGUGCUUUUUCAAAGGGUGCGUUCCCUUAGCAUCGGAGAUAACUCUUUCCUGUCUUCCAAUAAUUCUGUUGUUAAUUGAUAAUUAAUUGAUAGUCAACUGAUACUCAGUGUAUCUCCCCUCCCUAGAUACUUUCAAAUUCCAGGAGAUACAUGUGAGGCAUAAAUUGAUGGUGCUCUGCCUGGAUGACCUUGAAUCUCUUUUGCUGGUUCUGUGUGCCCACACCCCAGCUUCAGUGUAUUUUGCUUUCUAAUGAUUAGCUUCUGCAACUAUCUUCAGAGGGUUGCCCUUGAACUACUGAAUUUCACCUGUUUGCACAGAGAACUGAAAGUGCCUGGGAGCUUACUGUGGCCCUGAGAUGCCCACAGCCAAUGAGUCACUGGUACAGGAAAUUGAAAGCCCAGCUCCCCCGAAUCAAGUCUGGGAAAAUUCUGAGGUGUAAUAUAUGCUCCAGAGCUCCAGUCAGCAAUAGGCUGAGACUGGGACUCUGCCUGAAUAACACUUGCACUUGGCUUUUUCCCUCCUUCUUUCCCUGUGUUGCUCCUGCCUCCCCACAUACCCC